rnacentral:lncRNA from 1 species
UCUGCGCAACGACUCCGUCCGUAUUUUCAAGCGCACGCUAUUGUGGUCCUCACCGACCAACUCCUGAGGGCGAUAUUGCGCCGUCCCGACACAUCGGGACGACUGGCGAAAUGGGCAAUGAGGCUCAGUGAGUUCGACAUUCAGUAUUGACCGUGAUCUGCCUUGAAGGCCCAGGUCCUGGCCGACUUUAUCGCGGAAUGCCCGACAGCCG